AACGCACCUUGCGCUCCUUGGUAUUCCGAGGAGCAUGCCUGUUUGAGUGUCAUGAAUCUCUCAAACUCAAAAGGUUUUUUGUUAAUUCAAGACUUUUUGUAGUUUGGACUUGGAGGUCUUUGCUGGUGUAAAUCAGCUCCUCUUAAAACUAUUAGCUUGGGUCUUUGUAUGUUGGAUCCUUGGUGUGAUAAUUAUCUACGCCAUGAUGUCCCUUCAACACCCUGCUUCUAAUCGUUAUCUUCACUGAUAACAAAUUCAUUUGACAUCUGACCUCAAAUCAGGUAGGACUACCCGCUGAACUUAA
rnacentral:misc_RNA from 1 species